AGAAAAAUCAAGUUAAUGAUAAAUUUUCUGCCUUUUUCGAGCAUGCGCACUUGAGAAGUUUGUGAAAAAACCGCGAAUUUGCAAAGAGAAUUUUCCUUGCGGUCUUGGAUGUGUCAACUUAAGUGAUCUUCUUGAUCAGAAAUUCAAUUACGUUGUCGGUUGUCAUCUACCUACACCCAUGGAUUAUCUCCAUCACCUUCACAACCUUGAAUUGCUAAGAGAGCUACCUUUGCCAAGACCACGUCGUGGGCUACGGGAUGCUAGAAAUCCAUUGGAAUCGUACGAGGAUGGGCCAUUUCGAGAUCGGUAUCGACUGUCAAAAGAAACCGUCAUUUACAUCAUCAACAUGCUGGAAGCAGAAUUGAAGAGGGACACACAGAGGAAUGAUCCACUUCCCGUUUAUUUGAAGGUGUUGACGGCUCUCCGUUUUUAUGCGGAUCAUUUCAAAAGAUGCAUGGUGAUGAGGCAGCAAUAUCACAGUCAUCAAUGUGUCGAAUCAUCAAAUAUGUGUCGGAAGCUAUAGCAAGAAGGAAGAGGCAAUACAUGAAGUUCCUUCGACAAGAGAUGAAGUUGAAGCAACUCAGCGACAGUUCUACCAGUACUGCAGAUUUCCAGGAGUGAUAGGUGCAAUUGAUGGGACACAUGUCUACAUCAGGAGCCCUGGUGGGGAUCAGGCAAUAUACUUCCUCAACAGGAAGAAUAGAUACUCGAUCAGUGUACAGGUUGUUUGUGAUCAGAAAACGUAUCCGGACAUCUACCCCCUGGACAUCCACCCCCCGGACAUCCACCACCCGGACAUCCACCACCCGGACAUCCACCCCCC